rnacentral:rRNA from 1 species
CCUACGGGGGGCAGCAGUCGAGAAUCAUUCACAAUGGGGGAAACCCUGAUGGUGCGACGCCGCGUGGGGGCAUGAAGGUCUUCGGAUUGUAAACCCCUGUCAUGUGGGAGCAAAUUAAAAAGAUAGUACCACAAGAGGAAGAGACGGCUAACUCUGUGCCAGCAGCCGCGGUAAUACAGAGGUCUCAAGCGUUGUUCGGAAUCACUGGGCGUAAGGCGUGCGUAGGCUGUUUCGUAAGUCGUGUGUGAAAGGCGCGGGCUCAACCCGCGGACGGCACAUGAUACUGCGAGACUAGAGUAAUGGAGGGGGAACCGGAAUUCUCGGUGUAGCAGUGAAAUGCGUAGAUAUCGAGAGGAACACUCGUGGCGAAGGCGGGUUCCUGGACAUUAACUGACGCUGAGGCACGAAGGCCAGGGGAGCGAAAGGGAUUAGAUACCCUAGUAGUC